rnacentral:rRNA from 1 species
CCCGCUGAACUUAAGCAUAUCAAUAAGCGGAGGAAAAGAAACUAACAAGGAUUCCCCUAGUAACUGCGAGUGAAGCGGGAAAAGCUCAAAUUUAAAAUCUGGGGGUCCCUGUGGCCCUCCGAGUUGUAAUCUAGAGAAGUGCUAUCCGCGCUGGACCGUGUACAAGUCUUCUGGAAGGGAGCGUCAUAGAGGGUGAGAAUCCCGUCUUUGACACGGACUACCAAUGCUUUUGUGAUGCGCUCUCGAAGAGUCGAGUUGUUUGGGAAUGCAGCUCAAAAUGGGUGGUAAAUUCCAUCUAAAGCUAAAUAUUGGCGAGAGACCGAUAGCGAACAAGUACCGUGAGGGAAAGAUGAAAAGAACUUUGGAAAGAGAGUUAAACAGUACGUGAAAUUGUUGAAAGGGAAACGCUUGAAGUCAGUCGCGUUGUCCAGAAAUCAACCUUGCUUCUGCUUGGUGUACUUUCUGGUUAAUGGGUCAGCAUCAAUUUUGACCGGUGGAUAAAGGUCAGGGGAAUGUGGCAUCUUCGGAUGUGUUAUAGCCCUUGGUUGCAUACAUCGAUUGGGAUUGAGGAACUCAGCAUGCCGCAAGGCCGGGUUUUUAACCACGUACAUGCUUAGGAUGCUGGCAUAAUGGCUUUAAUCGACCCGUCUUGAAACACGG